rnacentral:rRNA from 1 species
AACGUUUGAUGGUCGUCAACUUCUUAGAGAGACUAUUGACUAUUAGUCAAUGGAAGUUUGAGGCAAUAACAGGUCUGUGAUGCCCUUAGAUGUUCUGGGCCGCACGCGCUCUACACUGAUCAAGUCAACGAGUUUACAACCUUGGCCGGAAGGACUGGGUAAUCUUUUGAAACUUGAUCGUGCUGGGGAUAGACCAUUGCAAUUAUUGGACUUCAACGAGGAAUUCCUAGUAAGCGGAAGUCAUCAGCUCGCGUUGAUUACGUCCCUGCCCUUUGUACACACCGCCCGUCGCU